UAUUAAUUGUAGUAAUUAGUAGUCAC
rnacentral:piRNA from 3 species